AGCCCCAGCGCUGGCUGCGGCGGAACCCACGGCGUACCUUCCCGCCUCCAACAAACUAUCCGGUUGCUGAGGUUGAUUUAGCAACACCCCAGGGCAUCUGGGUUGGCAGGAGCACCACAGUGACAGCCUGGCCCAGGCUCGGGUACGGGAGGCAGCCCAGUGGCCCGCAGUAGAGGGCCAGGCUGGGGACCAGGGAGCUGGGGCUGAGGAGAAUUUGUACAGCCUAGGGAGGCGCAGCACAGCAGUAUCAGCCUCUGGCAUUUGUACCACCUUUAGUCCUGCCACUUUCUCUCACUGUGGCUUCGCAACAGACUUGGGAACCAAGAAAGGCAUAGGUGAGGAAGCUGAAGCCCAGUCUGGGCUCGCGGAAGAAACUGGUGGAUCCAACUUCUGCAUAGCGCAAAUAUCUGCUUCCUGCCUCCACCCACCCAUUCCCACUUCCCCUGAUUGGGGAACUCUAGAGCCCCACAUCAGAGUUCAACAUGUGCCUCAGGAGCUUCAGCACCUCUUUUGUGGGAGGAGAGUCCGCUGGUGACUGGGGCUGCAGGCCAUGACAUCAGCCUGCCCAGCUUCACCUCAGGCUGCUUCCAACAGUGCCAAGUGAGGUCCCUUGGCAGGAUCCCUGCAAGGCAGCGGCUGGCCACCAGGAGGCAGCAGCCUACUCUACAAGGCACUUUCUUCAUUCCAACCCCUUGUAACAGGUCUGAGGAAACCUGUUCGCCCAGCCAUGUGCUGCAACCAUCCUCCACUCCCAAUCUUAUCUCCCAAUAGCACAGAUUCCCCUAUCAUGAGUCCAGACUUGGCCUUCAUCUCCUCUUGCCUUCCUCUGUCCAAGGAAUCACUACAGAGAUUCUUUCUCUAUCCUUCUUUGUAAAUUUCCAGAAAAUUGUUUCCCCAGGGCCCCUCCCCUUGAAGAAAUUAAACAGGAAGCUGGAGUAGACUGUCCCUUCUUUCCCCCACCUCUCACACUCCAAAGCUCUGUUUAACUCUGUGGGCCAGUGGCUAGAUUCCCCAACAUGGAUGACAGAGAAUACACAUGCAAUAAGAAUGUUUUCGCUGCCACCAGCCACUCACAGACACACUGUCUCCCACCCUCUGAAGGCAUUGUGCCCAAUCCCCAGCCACUCACUGUCUAGUCAGGGCUGCCCCUGCAGGACUUGCCUUGGCUGAGGACCAGCUAGCUUCAAGCCACUCUGAAGUCAGCUUGCUGUUUCCCCUGGAGCCUGGUAAUACAUCCUUCUUCAGGUGAACAAAAGCAGAAAAAGCCCAGUGAACCCCACUGCAACAAAGAGCCUGCCAUCAGUCUUCCUUCUGUUCCUGCCUAUCUCAUCACCCAAGGGCUAUCCCAGAGCCCACUAUGUUCUAAGAUCUAUUCCUUUCACCACCACCCAGCCAAACAACUAUCCAGACAAUUCCUUGAUCAAACAACACUGCCUUCUUGAGUUUAAAUUUUAUUUUACAAAAAGAGAAAUAAAGAAAACUGAUAGGCAGUUAUACUGACUUACAAUUGUUCUGUUUGCUUUUUUUUAAAAAAGUGACAUGAAACACAAGUAAAAAUAAAUACGUCAUAGAAACAGCCAGUUGCCCAGUCUCUGGGGCAGGAGCGCCUGCCCUGCUGAGAGGAGGGAAGCCCAUGAUCACACCAGCAGCUGGAUCACCCAGCCACAGAUGCUCCUCGAAGCCAGGCACAGGUCCCAGGCCUCAGGGGCGUCCUGAGGAAAGAAGACGGAAAACCAAAGCCAGGUGCCAGGACCCUGGGGCCACCUCAUUAUCCCCCACUCCUCCUGGCAGCAGUCUGGUCUUAGUGGUUAUCCAUAGCGACCCCCCUUAACCCACCUGGACCCUCUUCCCCUGACCUCUCUGAAGAUGGUACAAGGGAAAAACCUGUCUUGGGCAGGCUGGGGGGGAUUCUUCUGGUGAGUCCCCAGCCCACCCUGAGUAACACAACCAGAUAACAGUCAUUUUACACCCAGGUGCACAUGAGCACAGCACACAAACACACACACACACACUCACACACACACACACACACAGCUGGGCUGAGCUCUCUUCCAGGGAGGGUCCUGGGUCCAGUCACAGUAUGAGGUCCUCUCUCUUCUGAAUAUCAUCCCAGUAGUGGCAGCAGAGAGUACCCAAACCUCCCCAAGCCCUCUGCAUUGCAGACACUGCAGCCUGCUUGGCUACCCCUCCCCAACACACUAGAUUACUAUGUCAAAUAGACCUGCAAAAGGGAAAGGUGCACACUCAGGUCCCUGAAGAGCAAAGAAGUUGGACACUGCCUGCUCAAGAAGUUCAUUGUUAUAAGACUCAGGUAUUCAUAAAAGGCCUAGGGCUAAGCUAGUAGCACAGAAAAGCCGUUAAGGGGAUCACAGCAGAAUACACAGGGCAGAAGAGAAGAGUUGGCAGCAGGGGAACGGAGUCUCAAGGUGACCAAUAGAGAGCACAACAUUCUCAAAUAGUCCUUGAGGUGCUGAUUCCUGGGAGUAGUCAGCAGAGGGCCAGAACAUCUCCCAGGGGUCCUUUUGGGGAAGGAUGACUUCACUUAGUUUUAGGGGUGAAGAGCCACUGAGCUGGGUGCACAGAAGGCCAUGGCUCAGAAGGGAAAGACUGAUCUGAGAAAUCAAAAGGAAGUGGGGGCCAGGAGCAGUGGCUCACGCCUGUAAUCCCAUCACUGGGAGGCCGAGGAGGGUGGAUCACUUGAGGUCAGGAGUUCAAGGCCAGCCUGGCCAACGUGGUGAAACCCCGUCUCUACUAAAAAAUAUACAAAUUAGCUGGGCAUGGUGGUGUGCACCUGUAAUCCCAGCUACUUGGGAGGCUGAGGCAGGAGGAUCGCUUGAAACCGGGAGUGGAGGUUGCACGGAGCCAAGAUCACACCAUUGCACUCAAGCCUGGGUGACAGAGCAAGACUCUGUCUCAAAAAAAAAAAAAAGGAAGUGGGAAGCAGAAGGUAAUAUCCAGAACACUAGUAACAAGGAAUGUAAAGCCCCCAGAAGACCUUCCCCAUGGGAUGAGGACUCAAUUUCAGAGCAAUGCCAGGUUUGAAUAGACUCACACAGAGGGCCCUUCUCUGCUGACAACUUUGGGAGUGAUGGUCCUACCCAGGCCACUUAAGUUUGGCUAAGUGUUUCAACCAAUCUGCAAAACUGUACCCCAGCACUUUGCUUCCUGCUCCUGAAUUGAGAAAUUUCAUAUUUAGUUGUGAAUCACAAGCAUAUAGAGACUCCACACACUAAUUCCUAGGGAAGAGAGCUCCAAGGAUCACAAGCAUAUAGAGACUCCACACACUAAUUCCUAGGGAAGAGAGCUCCAAGGACCAGACAGAAUUAUCCUUAAAUCAGGAGAUGAUGAGAUAGAUGCCUAAAAAGCAUAACUCAAAGGGGUGUGGACUUCAUAGAUAUCCAAUCUAAAGAAAAUGAUAUGACCCAACAUGGUUCACUUCCUUUCUUAAAUAGCUACUUUGUCCCUGUUCAAUUUUUAUCUACAAAUAUAUUAAGAAAAGGAAAUCAAGCAUCACUAUAAAUGGUAAACCUCAAUCAUUAAGUAGUACUGUGUUCCCCAGGCUGAGAACUUGGCUAAACCAGAUGAAUGGGGCUUGAGAGGCCCUUGAAAACAUUCCAUGGAAGACAAUGGUAAGGGAAAACGCCUAGGCCUGAUUUUCUGCCCUCCCUCUUAUCACCAGCCACCCUGCCCCCCUCAGGCCUGGAUAAUGGGUGGAAGACACCACCAAGUGUUUAUGAUCAAAGAAACUAUAAAACAUGGUUCUUAGGCUCUGAGAUACUUCCUGCUUCCCUCACAAACAUGCUUAUGUUUGGUGUGCAUGCACAUUUGCCUAUCAGCACAUAUAAAGAGACAGUGGAAAAGUCAGAAGUGUUUUCAGGUUAUUUUCUUUAAAAAAAAAAAAAAAAAAAAAAAAAAAAAAAAAAAGCAAAAACCAUGGACCUGGUAGCACUCCAAUUUCCCAUGAUCCCACCCCCAACCCCUCUACACAAUAGAAACUGCACAUAUAAAAGAAAGCCUUCUCUAGUCAGGUCAGCCUCCCAGAAUGAUGGCCUCUGCUGAGUAGAAGCAAGACCCAGUCCCUGGAACACUGGAUAGACAGUAGGCAUGUGCUGCCUCUCAGAAUACCCAUUUACUUUCUGUCAACUUCAAAAGCCAAGCCCAUCCCUCCAGGGAAUGGUUUCAGUUCCCGGCUGGGAAGGUUUCCGGAUUCUUGGAGGCUAGUACAGUGAUUUCCUAGAAGUGAACACAGAAAUACUACCCCCUUCUCCCGACAACACACACACACAGACAUACACAUGCACACAUGCAUCUCUGGGAUCCCAGUGCUCCAGGGCCUGAGAGGCAUCAGUGUAACCCAGGUUCUGAGUGUGUCCCAUAAAUUGGAGAUUCAGUCUAGCUCACUCCUACUGCACCAGCCUCAACCUGAGAGCUCACUCCAACUGAGUCCCUUCACCAUCCAUUCUUGGGAUGCAUAUACACAUGCACCCCAUCCAUCAUCUCCUUGUCUCUUCUCUGAGGACAAUACCCCAGAGUCUGCUAAGGCCCUCCAAAGAUGGAAAUGGGCUGGUCAGAAGAGCUGUAGGAGCUACUACUGGGAUGACCUGACUAAGCUGCCUUCUGGGCUGGGAAGAGGCAGGUACACCACCUGCCCAGUAAGGAGGGAGCCAUGGGUAAGUGGUAAAGCUCUAAAGCCAAAGUUUGUUCAUCAUAAAGAACUGUCUGGCAAAGUGUUGGGGUGGGGGAUACAGAGGGGGCGGGGACACCAGUAGGAAGACAGCCAGUGUUUAUGCUUAAGGACUAGACGACCCUCCCCUGGCAAUGGCAAUAAGGGGAGACCCAGAAUGACUGGUGUGUUCUUUUAAGAUAAAACCCAGACUUAGGGCUCCUACAGAGAAAGGGCUCCUCCAUGUUCCUUCAAAGAUGGAGGCAGCAGACACCAGGCCUACAUGGACCACCUGAAGAUAUUUUCGAACAUGAAAUCAACAGUCCCUCAACCCAGCAACCGCCUAUCCACAGCUUCACUAUUCAGCAUAGAGAGCCAACAUCUAACAUCAUCCCAGGAGGACACAGCUCCAAAUCUGGGGUCUCUUACUUCCCAAUUGCAAACUCCAUGAUCACAACUUUCGAUUUCUGUGGAAUGAGUCCCACCCUCCACUAACUAUCCAGUCUCAGGAUUCCCUGAUCUUCCUGAAAAGCCAUCUCUCAAAAAUAUAGUUGUUUAAUCCAAACCUUGGUCAAACCUAACUCUUCCCCUGGUCAAUUUACCAUCCAUCCAGGAUUGUUUUUCACCAGUGGCUAUAGGGUCUGGGAUAUCUUAAAACUUCCCUUUCUAUCACCUACCCUCCUUACCCCUAACCUCCCCCCACCCCCAAAUAAACAAGACACAUGAAAAGUCCAAGUAAUAAAUAAUUGCCCAUAAGAAAUAAAUUAACAUGGAGCUCUCUAAAGGGGAAGGAAAGGAACAGAAAAGACUACCAGGAUAGGCAGCUGGGGGCUCAGUUCUACCCUGGUGAAAAAUGUAUUUUCCAGCCACAACUCUGCGACCUUUCAUUCACGUACUGCAGUGCUUCUCCCUCCCAGCCUCUGCACACAGACAACCUUCCAAGCUGGAAAGGGAGAGCUGCUCAGAGAUAGCCACCGGGGUUAAGAGACAUAGAUUGGUAAUGCCCAUUUUCUCUCAUGAAUUUCCCCAAAUUCUCACACAAAUGUGGCUCUGAAUACCAGGGACUUGAGUUAGCUGGGCCUUCUCUUCACCCAUCCCGAAGGAAACUUGUUAUUUCCAUGGCUCUUCUGGGCUCACCCUGAUGUUCACACUAGGUGCCAUGAACCACCAAACUGACUUCCAUUUAAAGAAAGAUAAAUUCAUUUUUCAGUUUCCCUCUUAGUUCUUCCCUCCCUCCCCUCCCACCUUCACCCCUGCUCUGUUCCAUACAUACACAUACAAAAUAAACAUACACACACACACUCACAAACACACAUACCUGGUCAGCUUCCUUCCCACCCCCUAAAAAGACCCCACUUCACAUGGGAUCACAGUCUGCUCCCCCUACCCACCCUCCUUCUCUCACUCAUUCUCCCUUCCUUCACUCCCCUCCCCAGGCCAAGCUAAGUCACCUAGUAAGGCAGCUCUCUUGGGAAAGAAUGUUCCCAAAGACAGAAAUGGGAUGUGCGCUUCUACACUCAGAUGGGCGAGCAAGCAAGCAGACAGCAUAAGCAAGGCAGGAAGGAAAAGAGGCUGCACUGCCCCUCCAUCCCUGUUUUGGGUCCCUGAUUUCCCGCUAUUGCUGCUGUGUUGGACUUUUUUUUUUUUUUUUUUUUUUUUGCCUCUUUUGUUAAACAGCAACAGAGCUCUGCCACUUUGGCCAACCACCCUCCUUUGUCCUCUUCCUUUUCCCUCCUGCCAAGUGUCC
rnacentral:lncRNA from 1 species